rnacentral:rRNA from 1 species
UACAAAGGGGGCAAGCGUUGUUCGGAAUUACUGGGCGUAAAGGGCGCGUAGGCGGCCUUCUAAGUCAUGCGUGAAAUCCCCGGGCUCAACCCGGGAACUGCGUCUGAUACUGGAAGGCUUGAAUCCGGGAGAGGGAUGCGGAAUUCCAGGUGUAGCGGUGAAAUGCGUAGAUAUCUGGAGGAACACCGGUGGCGAAGGCGGCAUCCUGGACCGGUAUUGACGCUGAGGCGCGAAAGCCAGGGGAGCAAACGGG